rnacentral:lncRNA from 1 species
CUAACUCAACUUGAGUUGUUAAUUCAAAGCAUGUUAGUGGUUAAUCAUUGUUGAUUAUACCACGUCAAUAAUUUAUUGAUUCGCACAUUGUGCAUGUUGUAUACGUUCAUCAGGUAUGAAAGGCUGAUCACCUUCAUUACCAUAUGUUUCAGUUAAACUUGUUCAUGUUAAUUGUUGACAUCCAAUAUUAUUGGUUCAGUCAUUCAAUCAUUG